rnacentral:lncRNA from 10 species
AUUUGAAUUCAUCACCUCUACUGAUUCCCAUUAAUAAAUGUUAAUGGAAUGGGCAAGGAAAUGAUCCGACCUUUUGAAGAUCCAUGGACUGCAAGCAAAUAUGACGAGUAGGGUGGCUCUACCCUUGAUAAUUUCAAAAGGCACAAGCAAUAAGGGGGUUCAUCUGCAUGACACUGGCCCCUGUGGACAGGGUCUUUAAAAUGAAUAUGUACAAAAGAAGUGAUAAUCCUGCUACAAUAAUGGAGGGAAACCAUCAACAGAAGACUGAUUUCUGAAACUUUCUGAAAUAUGGAAAAACGGAAAGCGGAAAGUAAAGUACAAUAUUUACUCAUGCAGCAAAGCAAGGGAAGCCAUAAUCUUGAAUAUAGGCAUCAACGGGGGAUAAGAAAACACCGACCCGUUUGUCAGAAGUCCAGUGAGGUGCUACAGGAGGAGUGGGUGAGAAGUUUCCGAAAACACUAGAUUUAAUUAAAGAUG